GAAGAGCUCUCCGCCCCUCUCUGAGUGGGUGAGCACACCUGUGUUCUGUGGCAGGUCCCACACUGCGUUGUCCUUUGCAGGAUAGGAACAGGGGCUCUGGCUCCUGUGCCCUCAUAGCACUUCUGUCACACAGCGUUGUGUCACAGAGGGCAAGUGUGGGAAGGAGAAACCAUCCGGGAGUGGGAGGCAUGAGCCCUGUGGCACCGCGAGCAGCGCUCUGGAACAGCCGAACGCAGGGGGUCCUCUCUUCCCUGCUCAGGCCAUCUGUCAUGUGAAACUCCCGUGUCCUGCCAGCAGAGCCAGCAGGCUCCUUUCCACUCCGGGUCCAACUGUCUGAGGGGAGCUUUCUUCUCCAACACCCUCUGACAUGUCAUAUCUCUCUCUAUUGACACAGGCUGAUACAAACCCCCUGACAUGUAGGUCCACACACAUAUGGCACUACUUAAACCCCUAAAUACAAAAUAUCAAACCUGUCUUACCAUGAACAGGAAAACAACCAGUGAAAGGAAAUUAUAUGGAAGACACAGAUGAAGCAUGCCAUGAUGCAUAAGGGAUUUUUGUGCUCUCAUUCCCUGCUACUCCCUUUUCAUGGCCAGAUUUCUGAUCUUCCUGUGAAAUAAAUGAGCAAGGGAAUGUGACUCUGAGGGGAUGGAGUGAGUAUCAGCAGGAAACGGAUUAGCACUGUUACAUGUACAGACAUGAUGUUCAGUGCACCCAGCCCACCAGCGGCAAACCUACAGCUCCAUGCCUGGGAGAACCCACAGAAAGCCUGCAUGGGGCACCAGGAAUCAGAACAACCAUUGCUGUUCUCCUGUCAAAAAGGCCACAGAGGAGUGCACUUUGUAAUGGCUGGGUGAGAGCACAGGGUCAGAUCUGUGCAGUUUUCACAAAUGCAUCUCCACAGACAUGAUGUGGGGAAAAUCAAGUAUUCUUACAGUUGCAUUAUGCUAGUAACUUCAAAUCAAAACUGUGGUGCAUGUUAUUACUUCGUGGCUACAUACAUGUGGAAAAUAAACAAACAAAGAAGCUUCUAAAAUUUCUUUUCUCUUGUUAAUCAUAUAACUGAGAUUUCCAACUGCUUUACCCAACCCCGCACAUCUUUGCUAUGUGCUGCUCUGCCCACAUGCAGCAGCAAGCUCUCUUUCUCUCUCCUGUGUUCUACAAAAGCAACACAUUUCCACAUUAGGUCUAACUCCUGGAAAGAAAGAAGAGAAACACCGAGAAAGUUUGUCCAGCAUCAGCUCGCAGGAGAAAAAGCCCCCUGCUGUGGCUGUCAGCCUGGUGGGUGCCACACUGAGCCAGGGCUCUUUGUGAUGCUCUCAAACACCCCUAAACACGCACUGAGAAGCAAUACAUUGCCACUUAAAAGGGGAAAUUUGUACAAGGGCUACCGGGAAGGCAGACCGAGAUGUACUCCAGAAUCCCCGACACGGGAAAGGAAACAAAAUCUCAAAACAUAAACACAGAAAGACGGUGACUCCCUUCGGGUGUAUCAUGUUUUUGGCAGGAAGAAGGAGAGCGUUGGGGGGCCUUCGGGGGUUCAAGGCUGACCGUCGAUUGCAGAGCUCCAGGCUCUGGCUUUGCCGCUGGGAGGGACACCCGCCCCGCACCUGCCUUUCCCCGCACCUUGCCGGCCCUGCGGGGCGCACCGGCGGCUCUCCCGCCCCGGAGGGCUGCCGGCGGGGCUCCUUCAGCGCCAACUUCCCCGCCGCUCUCAGUGCCUCAUUUGAGGACGGAGUGCAGGCAAACGCCUGUCCCGGCCAGGCUCGGCACCUACAGACUCGACCCGGCAGAACCUGGCUGGAAAGGUAUUUCCCAUCUCUCUGAAAAGUCUGCGACUUAGAAGUAUCUGUAAUAAAUAUCAAGUGUCAAAGAGUCUGCAUUGGAAAGUGCCUUUAGCAGCCUAACAGGUGUCACCUUAGUUUUUCAGAAAGAAGCUUUCGGAGGAAAACCCUCAAUUUUGUGACCAGUGUGUGACAGUAAGAGGAAAUCUGUUGCAGUUGCCUGUAAUGGAAGCCCAGUUGUGUGUUUUCAGUCUUUUUUCAGCUGGCCUCUUAGUGGCAGGGCAAUUAGAGCUCAAAUAUACAGGGAAAACUUAUCCCAGUCCAGUAAUCAAAGCAAACAUUAUAUAGAUUUUGAUUGCUCCAACAAGAAUGAAGUCUUUGUUAACUGAAGUAGCUUUAUUGAUUCAAAUGAGGAGAUGUAUUUAUUCUGUUUUGUGAAGUGCUCCAAUCUGUGUGUGCAUUUAAUGCUUACGAAUUCAGAGAUGAAGGACUGAAAAAGUUCUAUGUCAAACUGUAGAAGAGGAAUUGUUUCAUUCCUAGAAUAUUUAUUCUAAUGUUCUUUUCUAAAGGCUGUUUUAAUACUUGUAGUUAUCAUUAUCAUCUUAUAAAAGUCCUUAAUGUUUCACAAAUGGCAUGAUUUGUUUAAGUCACAUAAUUAACAACAUUCUUGACUGUUUAGCAAUAAUUAGUUUG